rnacentral:rRNA from 1 species
UGGCGGACGGGUGAGUAACGCGUGGGUAACCUGCCUUAUACAGGGGGAUAACAGUCAGAAAUGGCUGCUAAUACCGCAUAAGCGCACAGAGCUGCAUGGCUCAGUGUGAAAAACUCCGGUGGUAUAAGAUGGACCCGCGUUGGAUUAGCUGGUUGGUGGGGUAACGGCCCACCAAGGCGGCGAUCCAUAGCCGGCCUGAGAGGGUGAACGGCCACAUUGGGACUGAGACACGGCCCAGACUCCUACGGGAGGCAGCAGUGGGGAAUAUUGCACAAUGGGGGAAACCCUGAUGCAGCGACGCCGCGUGAAGGAAGAAGUAUCUCGGUAUGUAAACUUCUAUCAGCAGGGAAGAUAGUGACGGUACCUGACUAAGAAGCCCCGGCUAACUACGUGCCAGCAGCCGCGGUAAUACGUAGGGGGCAAGCGUUAUCCGGAUUUACUGGGUGUAAAGGGAGCGUAGACGGUGUGGCAAGUCUGAUGUGAAAGGCAUGGGCUCAACCUGUGGACUGCAUUGGAAACUGUCAUACUUGAGUGCCGGAGGGGUAAGCGGAAUUCCUAGUGUAGCGGUGAAAUGCGUAAGAUAUUAGGAGGAACACCAGUGGCGAAGGCGGCUUACUGGACGGUUAACUGACUUUGAGGCUCGAAAGC